rnacentral:rRNA from 1 species
UGGCUCAGAACGAACGCUGGCGGCGUGCCUAACACAUGCAAGUCGAACGAGAAAGGGGAGCAAUCCCUGAGUAAAGUGGCGACCGGGUGAGUAACACGUGACUAACCUGCCUUCGAGUGGGGGAUAACCUCGGGAAACCGGGGCUAAUACCGCAUAAUGCCUUCGGGUUAAAGGAGCAAUUCGCUUGAAGAGGGGGUCGCGGCUGAUUAGCUAGUUGGCGGGGUAACGGCCCACCAAGGCAAAGAUCGGUAGCCGGCCUGAGAGGGCGCACGGCCACAUNGUACCUGAAACACGGCACNGACUCCUACUGGAUCAGUCAGUGGG